CUAGAUGUAGCUCAGUUGGUAGAGUGCUUGCCUGUCAUGCAUGAAGCCCUGGGUGUGAUCCCCAGCGCCAGA
rnacentral:tRNA from 1 species